CUUUGUUUCACUCUCUGGACCUGAACUUCUACCACCCAGAAGUCAUUUUUUCUUGCAGAUUUCAUCUUCAACCUCAGUGUAAGAAUAAGAAAACUGGCAGUUUCCUCCGAACAAGAUUGAGAAGCGCCCUGAGGGUCCUGAGUCCCCAGAUGAUUGAUGACCCGGGUGCCCUGGCCUCCGCGCCUCGCCUCCUAUGACUCCAGGGAUCGGAACAGCUCCGGGCCUUCUCAUGUGUGAGAUCGUCAGAGCUGGCUGCAGAGGCGCUGGCGGGGGAGCAAACUGCAGAAGUAGGCCGGAAGCUCUUGGAUACAGCGCAUCCCAGAAAGAAGGCCACGGAGGAGUCGGCAUCACCUACAGGUGCUGCUGACACAGGCAGGACCUAGCCAAGAAUAUGUGUUGAAUGUUAUUGUUGUGAACUUCGUACAUCGAAAGAUCUACUAGGCAUCCAUUGUGAAGCAGAAAGGCUGCACCUUCUACAGAGACUAAGCUUUUCACUGCACCAAGAUGCUACACAUUAACGGUGAAUAUGAUGUGAAUCGGCCCUCCAGAUGGCUGCCUGGCUGUACCGAAGUGUCCUUAAGAAGCAGUCAAGGAAAGAAUCAGAGGCGUAGCUCCAUGCCAGGACCACACCAGCAAGGCAACUGGGGAAAGUGCAUUCCCAGGCCCGCUACAGAUGUCUUGCAUUUCCUGUGCUCCUCACAUCUUCUGUGCUGCCUCCUUGGAGGUCAUCAGAGCGGAAAGGGGUCUGUAGAGGAGGGCCAUGCUCGGUUGCCAUCAGCCCUCCCUGGGGCCCCCGGGGAGAUCCUGCAGAAGGGGAGCCACCAGGAGGACCAGGCCUGAUCUACUGCUGGCCAGGCCUGGUGCUCGCUGCCCCUGGGUCCUCCAUGUGUACUUUGCACUCACAAGGUCACGGGUGGAGCCUUCCCCAGAGGUGACCCGUAAUCCACAUGCCUUAGGCCUAAAGCAAGGGGAACCUUGUGUGUGCGUUUUCUCGCAUCUCAGGGUGGAGGAAGAGCCCACUGAAAGGUGUCUUCUAAGAUAAAGCUGCCUUUUACCCCUCUGUGGUAAAAAAAAGACCUAGAAAGAGGCCAUUAUUUUAACCAGACCCAGAAACUUUUCCAGCUCAAUUUACUUCUAGGUGCAGAAAAACUAAGAAAGUUCAGUUAAGAAAUGCAAAUUAGUUCUGGUUACCUAUGGAUGCUUAGCCAAUCAUUACAAAACCUAACAUCGUGAUGUUUCAACACCUGCUUUGCUGUAACUCAUAAUCUCUGAAAAUUAGGGAUUUAGGAGAGGGGCUGGACAGUUCCACUGAGGAGUCUCCUGUUCAGGUGCAGAAUGGAGCUGGAAAAGCAAGGACUGACGCGGGGCGGGGCGGUAUUUCUCUCUGAAUCUCUGUACUUCUCUGCUUAUAGCUCUGGGGCCUUUCAGGGUGGGUUCAGAGAGUUAGAGCAGGAAGGAUGCAAGUUGGAGCCUAGCCUAGGCGAAUUAGUAACUUAGUGAAAGAUUGGAUCAGGAUGGAAAGGAGAGAGAGAAAGAGAGAGACGGGGGAGAGAGCUGGGAAUGUACCUCACUGUGAUGACUCUGGGCUCAAUUCUCAGUAUCACCAAAAAAAAAGAAAAGCACAACAGUGUCCUCUCCUGCUGGGCUGAUGUGGACCUCCUCAGAGCAAGGCUGCCACCAGAAAAAAUCAAACAAUAACUAAAAGCUUCAAGAGUGAGUAUUCUUGUAAGUCCAAAUGUUGUGCAGUUUUUAAUAUACUUGAAUGUAAAGAUUCAAUAAAUGCUUAGAGCGUAAAGAUAAUUUUUCAAGACUUAGAUUGACUGGUUUAUUGAUUGACUCAUUGAUGCAUUGAUUGAUUUUUUGGUUUUUCUGAGACAGGGUCUCACUAUGUAGUUCAGGCUGGUCUCAGAUUCACAGUGAUCCUCCUACUCCAGUGUCUCUGGUGCUGGGAUUACAGGUGUGGCCAAUAGGCCCGGCUAACCCCCUUAUUUUUUACCAAUCAAUCCUAAAGAUCACACAGAAGGUUGGAUCCAAAUGACUUCUAAAUUCCCUUUCAUAUCUAUUAGUGGAGAAUUUCAUCAGGUAUUAUUGCUAGGUAUUUAUUUCAUCCUUAAAUACAAAACAAUAAUAAUCACUGCUGGUGCUCACUGAAAUGGCAGGCUCUGCUGUAUAAUUUUGCAUGGAAUGAAUAAUUUAACUAUUACAAACAUGCUAAAAAAUACUAUGGUUGUUUUCCUUUCACAUAUGAGAAAAUGGAGAAACAGAAAGAUAGAUUGGCUUGCCAGGAAUUGCAGAGCUGGUAAAAGUCAGAGCCCCAACUUGGCCUGCGCUAUCUAACUGGAGGGGCACAUUUGGAGCGCUGCAUUAGCCUCCCUUCCUCAAAGGAGCCACCAUCCAGUGGCUUCACACUUAAGUCAAAGAGAGAAUUUUCUGCAUAUUCAAACAAUUAUUGAAAUGGGUAAGAAAGUCCACUGGCACACAUGUGGAUAUAGAAAUGUAGAGCAUACGGUACCAUCAACAACAGCGUGCUCUCCAAAUCGAGAGACACAAGUGCACGGUUCGGGGACGUGUCCCCUGCGUGUUCCUUCAGACCCCCACAAUGAGGUCACAUCUCCAUCUCUUGUGCCUGAAAUCAUGCUGCUCACGAUCUUCCCCCAGACAGAGAACCCUUCCUGGCCUUUCCUACCACCGUGCGAGGGUCACGAAGUCCUUGCUGACCCUCCCCAGCCACAGUGCUUUGUCGAGCUGCUCUCUGCACCUAUUGUAUGUGUCCACAGCGUGGUGUAGCUGAGAGGAAGUGGGAUUGAAUCAGAAUGGACAGAUUUAAAGUCAAAACUAAACUGCUGCUGAACUGUUGGAUUUUAGAGAAGAUGGCAGACUUCAUGUAUUUCAGAGUAUAAUAACAAUUCAAAUUUGACAUUGCAGGCAUGUAGAUAUGGAAACUGCUUUGAGACGCAACGUGAUCACGCAUGCCUGUGUGAGAGACAGUCACAGUGCAAUGGUCAGAGAACUGAAGUUUAUCCACAGAUGCCUGACCUUGAACAAGCCUUCCCCUCUCGUCCUCAGCUUCUGAGCCCAGACCCAGGGUUGGUUCUGCAGCUUCCAGGAGAGCCAUCAUGGCUCUGAGAUUGUGUGCAGGCUGGAGCAGUUUUCCAGGCUGAGCACUCAUUUUUCAUUGGCCUCUCAGAGUUCUGAACCCAUGGAAAGUUAAAGAACAGAGCCAGCUGCCCAUGCAGCUUAAUUUUCCCCCAGGCUGACAGUUUAUAUCUCUAAGAACUUUAGUCCAACAUGUUCUUGUAAAAGGCACAGAAACUCAUUUUGCAAGACUAGAAAGGAAUCAUCACAGAUGAGGAAACCAUUCUGGAAGUGGGGCAGGGCGGGUCCCUGAUGUUAAAACCUGGCAAGGGUUCUGCAGCCUGGCAGGGACCUGGAACAUGGACCACGGCAGAGCCACAGCCACUGCCCACUGACAUUAGGAUCAAGGUAAGGUGGUCAGCAGCAACUCCCGACAAAGCCGUGCCUGCAGGCAGAAGGUGUUCAGUAAGCAACCAGCCAGAUCUUGACCUGCAUGACAUUUUUGAUUGUGCUAGGGACACACAAGGCUAUGUGAAUGGGGUGGAGUCACUCAGCAGACUUAGGGAAGCGA